CUUGCGCAUCGUAAGUAGGUGGACUGCGGAGGAACAUUAACGAAUUGUAAUGGGGGUUUGAUGCUGGCAAGCCUACCUUUUGGCUGCAUGUGCUCGCCCUCCAACAAUCUUUAUUCGCACACACCUGUGCAUCUUCUGAGGGUUUUCGAUUAAAGAGAUUGCUGUCUGGUAAUCUUUCUUAGAAUUCCCUCUUUACAUACACUGAUUAUAACGAUGAACGUGAUCGUGCCAAUAUGGCCGUAAUUAAUACAACUUUUAACAACGGAUCUCUUGGCUCUCGCAUCGAUGAAGAACGCAGCGAAAUGCGAUAAGUAAUGUGAAUUGCAGAAUUCAGUGAAUCAUCGAAUCUUUGAACGCAUCUUGCGCUCCCUGGUAUUCCGGGGAGCACGCCUGUUCGAGUGUCGUGAAAUUCUCAAGAUGUGGAUGCUUUUUUGUUAAAGUGUUCUCAGCUUGGUUAUUGGGCUUUGCCGUGUCCCCUUUGGGGUGACGGCUGGCCUUAAAAGCAUUAGCUGAUCCUUAUGAUGGCAUUGGUUCUACUCAGCGUGAUAAUAAUCUGACCGCCGAGGACAUCCUUCGGGGUGGCCAAUUCUCAUUUGGAUUGCUCUCUAAUCUGGUUGGUGGGUUGCUAAUAACAAUCUGUUCCAUUUUCAAUUUUGACCUCGAAUCAGGUGGGACUACCCGCUGAACUUAAGCAUAUCAA
rnacentral:rRNA from 1 species